CCUACGGGAGGCAGCAGUGAGGGAUAUUGGUCAAUGGGGGAAACCCUGAACCAGCAACGCCGCGUGAGGGAAGACGGUUUUCGGAUUGUAAACCUCUGUCCUCUGUGAAGAUAAUGACGGUAGCAGAGGAGGAAGCUCCGGCUAACUACGUGCCAGCAGCCGCGGUAAUACGUAGGGAGCGAGCGUUGUCCGGAUUUACUGGGUGUAAAGGGUGCGUAGGCGGGUAAGCAAGUCAGAAGUGAAAUCCAUGGGCUUAACCCAUGAACUGCUUUUGAAACUGUUUAUCUUGAGUGAAGUAGAGGUAG
rnacentral:rRNA from 1 species